UCCUUUGAUCUGCCAGUGACGCCACACAGAACGCACGAGCGCACGGAUAGAAGCCGCGCCCUCACCAUAUCCCAGGAUUCACUGCGAGUCAGCGGUUGAAGAAAAAUGGCGGACGGCCGAAGUGAAGCGCAGAAAUACCGUCUUCAAAUGUCCAGAGUCAGAAGAGCCUGAGAAGGUGAGAGGAGACGGAGGCUCUCCACCCCUGAUGAGACACCAGGACAGAUCCAGGACAGUGUGAGGAGGAGGAGGAGGAGGAAGAGGAGCCAGCAGCAGCUGAGAGAUGCAGAGGAGAGCAGACAGCUCUCUGUAGUUGAGGGACUGCUAAAAACACUGAAAACACUUUUAUAUUUGCUUCCUGUAUCUGCAGAAGCAUCUCCAACACAACCUGUAACAGCUGCAUACAGGAACCACUCACUGCUGUUCGUCCUGCAGGAUCUGACAGGGAACCAAGGAAAAAUAAGGGAACCACAGACAACUUUGAUAAUGCUUUGAUUUAUCCAGAAUAUAUGUAGUUCAAAUGUUGUUUUCAUCAGUGGGAUUGUGCUGGUUUCAGUGGGGAAAGUGUGCAGCUCAUUUAGACACAAAGUUGUCCCUUCAUAAAGUGUGUCAGUAUUUUCUAAAGAUGUUUCUGUAUCAUCUCUCUGCUGUUAGAGCCUCCAAACAUCAGCCUGCUUAUGCUCUCACAUCUGCAACAUCUGAAGUAAAUUAUGCUGCACAGUUUUGUCAUCAAUAAGAGAAGAUUUACUGCAUCAGUUUGUCUUCAUUUCAUCUGAAACACACACGGAUCAAACCUCUGACUUUAUUUUUGGGAUAUUGCCCUUAAAUGUAACUAAAGCUUUCACACAGGGCUCAUAAAUGAUAUGAAAUAGAAA